rnacentral:lncRNA from 1 species
CUCAUAUGCCAUAAAAAUUUCGAAAUAAUUUUCAGAUUGCAGCGGAAAAACAUAUGCGGGAUCCGUUCAUCGCAUGAACAUGUUUUAAAACCUUUCGUUUGUAGAUAGAUUAGAAUUAAAUUAUUUUAAACCAUUUUAAAAUCAUUAAGAAGAUCAGAUCUUCACCUUAUGCGGGUAGAUGGUCUCCGCAAAUCUGAUUUACGUGGUAUUU